rnacentral:rRNA from 1 species
GACGAACGCUGGCGGCGUGCUUAACACAUGCAAGUCGAACGGAAAGGCCCUGCUUUUGUGGGGUGCUCGAGUGGCGAACGGGUGAGUAACACGUGAGUAACCUGCCCUUGACUUUGGGAUAACUUCAGGAAACUGGGGCUAAUACCGGAUAGGAGCUCCUGCUGCAUGGUGGGGGUUGGAAAGUUUCGGCGGUUGGGGAUGGACUCGCGGCUUAUCAGCUUGUUGGUGGGGUAGUGGCUUACCAAGGCUUUGACGGGUAGCCGGCCUGGGAGGGUGACCGGCCACAUUGGGACUGAGAUACGGCCCAGACUCCUACGGUAGGCAGCAGUGGGGAAUAUUGCACAAUGGGCGGAAGCCUGAUGCAGCAACGCAGCGUGCGGGAUGACGGCCUUCGGGUUGUAAACCGCUUUCGCCUGUGACGAAGCGUGAGUGACGGUAAUGGGUAAAGAAGCACCGGCUAACUACGUG